AUUGAUGAGCCUAGAGGUUACAGCCUGCUUUUCAAGGUGAUAAUGAACUCACAGACUUCAGUACCACCUUCUGCUGGACAGUGUCAGGAUAUUAAUUGUUCCCUCCCAUAGCCCUGAAUGAAUACAAAGCCCUAAAUUGGUAAGGAAGUCUAUUGGACUGGUAGGAAAUAUUUCUCAUUGCCUGGGAAAGGAAGAAUUGGUUAGAUGGUGUGAAAUGCAACCGUGGGACUCAUAUCUCUGAAACAGUGGACCUCCUUACAAACAAGCCACUGCCUGAUGAAUGAUCUCCAGGAUCCUUCUUGGGUUCUAGGGCCAGCUUCAGUCAUAAUUCCCCUGAAUUCAUACAGCAUCACCUGCUGGGUCAUUAGCAUCUCUUUAGCAGACAGGCUACUGACGCAGGAACAAGCUAAUCUGGAUUGCCCAGUGAAAUAUACAAAAGCAGCAGAUACUGUGGACAAUAAAGGCAAAUUCUUUUUUCCUGAACUGAACUUAAAUAAAAUACUGAAAAAUAAACAUGCUCUCAUUUGGGAGAAAUGUUUUUACACUCUACUCUAA
rnacentral:lncRNA from 1 species